UACGUAGGGGGCGAGCGUUGUCCGGAAUUAUUGGGCGUAAAGGGUGCGUAGGCGGUCUUUCAAGCCAGAAGCGAAAGGCUACGGCUCAACCGUAGUAAGCUUUUGGAACUGUAAGACUUGAGUGCAGGAGAGGAGAGUGGAAUUCCUAGUGUAGCGGUGAAAUGCAUAGAUAUUACACAGAACACCGAUUGCGGAGGCAGCUUACUAAUCCAUCAUUGACGCUGAGGCACGAAAGCGUGGGGAUCAAACAGGAUUAGAUACCCCGGUAGU
rnacentral:rRNA from 1 species